GUCCACCAAUGCUGAUAAAUGGGAGCAGCACAGUGUAAUGCAGGAUUCCCUGUGGGCAUUUCCCCUCACUCAUCCAUUCAUAAAGGGCCAAACCUGACACAUCUAUUCUUGAGGACUACCUCACUUGACAGAUGAAGGCAGCAGGCUGGACUGCAGGUUUAGCAGAUGAAUUCAAUUCUUCAAGCAGCAGAACCAGAGUAAUAUUUCCAGGAUCAUUCAGAGGAUUUUGGAAGCGCUGUGCAUGGAUGCUGACUGAUGGCUUCUGCAGCCUGCAAGAGGUUCACAAUGAUGAUGACGCUGAUCCUGAUGAAAACACUCCAUGCAGAUGUGGCAUAAAAACUUUGUGAAGGAAAGAUAACAGCUAUGAAAUUUCUCAUUCACUCUGGAAGUUGGACUGCAUCAAACAAACGAGGUGAGAGUAUCUGCAGUGACUCUGAGCCUGACAACUGUAACAGACAGAAUUUCAUCCCUGUGUACUUCUUGGAAGACACCAUUCAUUUCCAUGACAAACUGCAAGCGCUUUGAACAUUUCCUCCAGGACCUUGCAGGCUUUCUUUCCAGACCGAGGGAUUGCUUACACAUGAAGAAUUAAAUUAAUUUCUGCUAUUACAUAAAAAAGAGUGACACAUACAUCUCAACAUCAGAUGAAACCGCUCUUUUACAGCCUUUGUACAUGUGUGCAACAACUCUUCUGAAGCCAAAUAACCUCUUGAGAUAUUGGCUUGAGACUGCAAUAGCUAUUUUGGGGAUUAAGACAGUCUGCAGUAUCCGCAGUAACCAUUUCAUAUGCAUUCUUCACAGCUUUUGAAUACCCCCAAAAAAACCAUAAAAUCUGUGUUCCACCUCUGAUUGUUAAGAGGAUGGUGCUAUCUCCUAACAGGUGUGCUCCUAGUCAUCUUAUUGUUCAAAAUUCCUAAGCCAAUUACUGUAAUUUGCCUCAUUUAAGUAGGAAACUGAUGUCCUGCAUGGGGGUAUGGGGUGCUUCAUGGCACUGCAUGGUGGAUCCACAGUGGAAUUCACUGCUCAGCAACAAUUGCUAAUCAAAAGCAUUUCCCAAUCAAUUUCACUGGAUCCUAUUAAAUACUAAACCAAAAAUAAAAGCUUUGGUCUACAGCUUCAAAGCUCUGUGGCCCAAGUCAUACUUAAUUUAAUACAGGCCCAAAUAAGAGACAGAAAACUAAUAUUUAUGCCGGAAAUACAACAUGCUGUGGGAUUUGUUUCUUUAGUGUAAAGUAACUUUUUCCAGAGCUCACAUUUUAUUUUCUGAUGGAAAUUACCUUCAAUAAAAAAAAGUCCAGGGUAAUGUACAUCUUGUGAUUAAAAUGGAACAACCAUCUCUCAACAUUUGAGGAUUCAAAGUCUUCAGUAUGCUUUGUUGUGAUCCUCCUGCAGAGCUAGCAUUUGCUGAACCAGGGGAACUGUCUCCCUCCGGAGUCUCAGCUGUGACAGAUCAUUCUUAGUGUCCAGCUUCAAACAGCAGUGCCUCAAAAUUU